GGGGAAUAUUGGACAAUGGGGGCAACCCUGAUCCAGCAAUGCCGCGUGUGUGAAGAAGGCCUGAGGGUUGUAAAGCACUUUUGUAGAGGAGGAUGGUAGACCAUGUUAAGAGCUAGGUUUAUUGACGUUACUCUAAGAAUAAGCACCGGCUAACUCCGUGCCAGCAGCCGCGGUAAUACGGAGGGUGCAAGCGUUAAUCGGAAUUACUGGGCGUAAAGGGUGCGUAGGCGGUUGAGUAAGUUAUCUGUGAAAUCCCUGGGCUUAACCUGGGUAGGAAAGAUGAUACUGCUUAACUAGAGUGUGGUAGAGGAUAGUGGAAUUUCCGGUGUAGCGGUGAAAUGCGUAGAGAUCGGAAGGAACACCAGUGGCGAAGGCGGCUAUCUGGACCAACACUGACGCUGAGGCACGAAAGCGUGGGGAGCAAACAGGA
rnacentral:rRNA from 1 species